AUUCCAGCUCCAAUAGCGUAUAUUAAAGUUGUUGCAGUUAAAAAGCUCGUAGUUGAAUUUUAGGUUGUGUGGCUUAUUCUCACAUUGUGAGAAAGAGUCGUUUAGCCUUUAAUGAUUAAUGAUAAAAUAGCAUUAAUUUGUUGUUUUGUUAGGAAUCAUCUUUUACUGUGAAGAAAUUAGAGUGUUCAAAGCAGGCAUUGCUGUGAAUACAUUAGCAUGGAAUAAUGAAAUAGGACUCAGGUUCUAUUUUGUUGGUUUAAGACCCAUGAGUAAUGAUUAACAGGAACAGUUGGGGGUAUUUGUAUUCCAGUGUCAGAGGUGAAAUUCUUGGAUUUCUGGAAGACAAACUACUGCGAAAGCAUUUACCAAGGAUGUUUUC
rnacentral:rRNA from 1 species